AUUGAACGCUGGCGGCAGGCCUAACACAUGCAAGUCGAGCGGAUGAAGGGAGCUUGCUCCUGGAUUCAGCGGCGGACGGGUGAGUAAUGCCUAGGAAUCUGCCUGGUAGUGGGGGAUAACGUCCGGAAACGGGCGCUAAUACCGCAUACGUCCUGAGGGAGAAAGUGGGGGAUCUUCGGACCUCACGCUAUCAGAUGAGCCUAGGUCGGAUUAGCUAGUUGGUGGGGUAAAGGCCUACCAAGGCGACGAUCCGUAACUGGUCUGAGAGGAUGAUCAGUCACACUGGAACUGAGACACGGUCCAAACCCCUAGGGGAGGCCGGAGUGGGGAAUUUUGGACAAUGGGCGAAAGCCUGAUCCAGCCAUGCCGGGUGGGUGAAGAAGGUCUUCGGUUUGUAAAGCACUUUAAGUUGGGAGGAAGGGCAGUAAGUUAAUCCCUUGCUUUUUUGACGUUACCAACAGAAAAAGCCCCGGCUAACUUCGU
rnacentral:rRNA from 1 species